UGAAGCCCUGGGGCACGGUCGGCGUCUCGCCGUUCCAGCCGGCGGGCGGGCUGAUCUUCAUGGCCGGCACCAG
rnacentral:tRNA from 1 species